rnacentral:lncRNA from 1 species
ACACAGACUUCCUGUCAGUUCUUGGUCAAGCAAGUUCUCGUCCACCUGAGGACCUUGUCCUUGCCUGUUCUUCCGUCUGCCUGGAAGGCUUUCUUCUGUCUUCUGUGCCUGGCUCCUUCCCCACCUUCCGGCCUCACUUGAGAUGUGAUCUUCUCUGACCAUCUUAGCUGAAGUUGGCCUCCUCUCCCUUAAUCUCCAUUGAGCUAAACAGUUUCUUUCAUCUAGAACUUACUAUAGUAAUUAUGUGUUUACUAGUUCACUGUCUGGAAUCGUUUACCCUAGAGCAGUCUACGAUGUAAAGCCAGGAUGGUCAAACUACAGCGCAAGCUUUGUUUUUGCAAAGCUCUGGAGAAAGGUUGGAAGGUGAGAAGGAAAUGAGCUACCAUGUUAUCCUGAUCCUCUGACCCUUGGAUUCUCUUCUCCAGUCUGUCUUUGUGAGUGGACAGAUGUCAGCUGGUACUACCCAGCAAAGAUAGACACAAGCUUAUGGUGAGUUUGGGCAUUUUCAGAUGUUUUUAAAUGUAAGGGCAUCCAGAUUCUGAAUCCAAUUUUUAUGGUUAGCAAUUGGUUUUAGUUUAUAACAGCAAAAAAAGAAUAUAGUUUGGAUGGGAUGAAAGAAGGAAACAGAAGUGUUAGAAACAAAAUGCUUGUUCCUUGGUGCUGCAAAGAAAUAGCACAUGAACAUAAAUUUAAUUUUCUCAGCAAGGCAAUUUUUACUUCUAUAGAAGGGUACGACUCACAAAUGGAGUAAUGGCGAGAGCGCACCUGAACAAGGGAGGGGAAGGGGUUCUUAUUCCUGACACAGGUGGCCCCUACUGCUGUGUCGUUCCCCUAUUGGCUAGGGUUGGACCGCACAGUAUAAGCUAAUUCCAACUGGCUAUUUUAAAGAGAGCAGGGGUAUAAGCCAGAGUGGCGGGGUCAGUAGUUUGGUAGGAAGGAUGGUUAGGUCCAGGUAAUUAAAGGUGACUUAGGUCAGAGCAGGUGACCGGGGUGACGCAGGCAGGUCAAAGCAGGUGACCGGGAUGAGUCAGGACGGAGCAGGGGACCAGGGGAACAGAUGUGAACUACUGAUUAAAACUGGUGAAAAAGGUUGUUUACUGAAACCACGAGGAAGUUAAAUUUUAUUAUUUAUUUAUUUAUUUAUUUAUUUAUUUAUUUAUUUAUUUGAGACGGAGUCUUGCUCUUUCGCCCAGGCCUGACUGCAGUGGCACUAUCUCGGCUCACUGCAAGCUCCGCCCCCUGGGCUCACCCCAUUCUCCUGCCUCAGCCUCCCGAGUAGCUGGGACUACAGGUGCCCACUGCCGUGCCCGGCUAAUUUUUUGUAUUUUUAGUAGAGACAGGGUUUCACCGUGUUAGCCAGGAUGCUCUCGAUCUCUUGACCUCAGGUGAUCCACCUGCCUCGGCCUCCCAAAGUGCUGGGAUUACAGGCGUGAGCCACCGCGCCCAGCCUAACUUUAAAAUGGGGGACAAAAAACUGAACAUACUGACAUAUUGAUUCUUUGAAGAGAAAUCUAGAACUCACUGUAACCAACAGAAGAACUUAAGGCCUGGUGAAUGAAGUAUCUGAACCUCCAGGUAGAUUUUUAGUAAGCACGGAGCCUAUGAUGGGUACUGGUUUAAAGCCCUAAGGGUGGUCUUAGUUUAGUUGAAGAAAAGGAAAGAAGAUGUCCUUGAAUCAUUAUUCAGGGUCAAGGAAUGAGAGGUGUUGGUGAAACAGGCAGAGAGGGGACGUGAUAUUAGAUUAAUGUCACAUCAUUGCAUCCUAUGGAAGGACCUGUAAUGUUGUUAGGCAGUUGCUAAGGGCAAAUUACAGGAAAAAUAUUAACUGGUUAAUAGAAUCAUGUAGUGAUAAUAGAGAGCUGAAGGCACUUUCAGAGAUGAUCCGGCCCAGCUCUCUCUCUGCAGGCAAGGGAAUGUCUAAAUCAUCCAGGACAGAUAUUGUUGACAUCUCA